rnacentral:rRNA from 1 species
UACGAACCGUCCAAACGUUAUUCGGAAUUACUGGGCGUAAAGCGUGCGCAGGCGGCUUUGCAAGUCGGGUGUGAAAUCCCCAGGCUUAACCUGGGAACUGCAUUCGAGACUGCAUUGCUAGAGUAUGGGAGAGGGAAGUGGAAUUUCCGGUGUAGCGGUGAAAUGCGUAGAUAUCGGAAGGAACAUCAGUGGCGAAAGCGACUUCCUGGACCAAUACUGACGCUCAUGUGCGAAAGCGUGGGGAGCAAACAGG